AAUAUCACACAACAUCAACGACACAUUAUGGAAAAGGAACUGGUCCUAUUCUCGUUUCGUAUCUACGCUGUGGAAGCGGUUUAAAUCACAUCACGCAAUGUUCUUAUUAUUCACCUCGGCGUAAUUAUUGUACGCACAGACGGGAUGUGGCGAUAGUUUGUUCACCCUGUGACAAAGAUGAAAUUCUGCAUGUUAGUUUUGUUUCAUAUGUCAAUGAUACCAACUACAUUGCAACGUGCAAUAGCGGUUUCAGGCCACAAAAAAUACACCUGCGUUGUUUGAGUAACGGAUCAUGGGAGUAUGAGGAAACUUGCACAUCGAAAUACGAUUAUCCACUUGAAAUACGUAAAAUUAGGCAGUCAGGCAAUAGAGUCGAAGUCAAUGUAGAUGGUGUAUGGGGAACACUAUGCAACAACAAUUUUGAUUCAUCAGAUGCACGAGUAAUAUGCCGCAUG